UAUAUAUAUAUAUAUAUAUAUAUAUAUAUAUACACACUGGCAGCCAAAAGUUUGGAAUAAUAUACAGAUUUUGCUGUUUCGGAAGGAAAUUGGUACUUUAAUUCACCAAAGUGGCAUUCAACUGAUCACAAAGUAUAGUCAGGACAUUACUGAUGUAAAAAAAACAGCACCAUCACAUGGCCAGGUGUGCAGUACACCAUUAACCAGUGUUGGGUAAGUUAUUCUAAAAAAACAAUUAAUUACUAACUACUAAUUACAUCUUCAACAGUGUAAUUAGAUUACUUUACUAAUUACUCUGUCUUAAAAGUAAUUGCAUUACUUAUUACUAAUUACUUUUAUCAUAUUACUAUUACUAAAACCCUUAUCAACCUCGACCAGGUGAAAAAUACAAGGAUACACAUGAAAUUGUUCUUUUUAAUUCUUUCAAAUAAAUCAUAUAAAAUCAAAUAAAUUAUUCAUGAACUGGCCAAAGAAUUUAAAGGGGCUGCAUUAAAAUAGAAAACAUACAUUUUAACAUUAGACUUUAAUUUUCGAUUUUAAAUUCACUAUUGUUAUAUAAAGAAUUGUUCUAUAGUCUAUACAGUAUUUAUCACAAUUACAUCAAAAGUAACUGUAAUUAAAUUACUGGAAAAUUAAAAGUAAUCCCUUACUUUACUUUUUUCAGUGAAAAAGUAAUUUAAAUACAGUAAUUAAUUACUUAGUAAUGCAUUACAUCCAACACUGCCAAUAACGUUAGAGCGACAGCAGUAGAAACGCCCACUGGCGACUUCAUAGUACAGAGACUAGCAACAUCAAGCGAUAAAGUCGCUGCAUGUGUGUACGGGGCUUUAAUGUUCAGAUCAGCCAUCUGAAUGGGGAAAAUAUUUUAUCUGUUGGUGCCAGAUGGGCUGGUUUGAGUAUUUCUGUAACUGCUGAUCUCCUGGGAUUUUCACGCACAACAGUCUCUAGAGUUUACUCAGAAUGGUGCCAAAAAACAAAAAACAUCCAGUGAGCAGCAGUUCUGGGAACGGAAAUGCCUUGAUGAUGAGAGAGGUCAACGGAGAAUGGCCAGACUAGUUCGAGCUGACAGAAAGGCUACGGAAACUCAGAUAAUGCAAUUGUAGUGAGCAGAAUAGCAUCUCAAAAUGCACAACACAUCAAACCUUGAUGGGGACGGGCUACAACAGCAGAAGACCAUGUCGGGCACUUUAUUAGGACCAUAGUGUUACUAAAGUGAAUGUAUAUUUAAUUGUUUAUUACAAGACAAAUGAGUACUAUAUUCAUACAAAUAACUAUAUCUCGUUUAUGUGACAAUGGUGAAUAAUCAGUAUUCCAUAUGUGUGUACACAUACAUAUUAUACAAGCUUUUUCUUACUCAAGGUGGCGCUGUCACGGUUCCGGCAUGUGUGUUUGUUUGUUUAUUUCAUGUCUUACAGGUGGAGCCGGCGCGCGUGAUCAGCAUUUCCGUGGGAACGCUGAUUGAUCUCGUGGAGACGCUGAUCAUGUUGGAACAAGCUCGAGUAUCUGUUGGUCUAUUGAGGUGCGGUUACCUGUCUGCUUGCAUUCACUCUCACCAGUUGGUGCCCAGGUCUGUGGAGGAGGACUCCUCGAUUUCUGCCCGCAUCUCAGGAGAUCCAUCUGGGCUUCGCUUGCACCUCACCAGCUUCUAUGGACUCUCAUCUGAGUGCUCCAGACUUCCACAAUGCACACAUUUCCCAUACAAACACACUCUUCACUAGCCCUCGGCGGCUGCCGGUUCUCCGACUUCUUCAGCCGGCCCAGGGUUUGCCUUGACUGGACUUUUGAGAACUUGUGAAUAAAUACUGUUGAAAUCUCUCUCUGCUUUUGGGUCCUUUAUCCUCCCCACUCCCCAACUGUGACAGAAUAAAGUGGCCAAGAAAGAGUGGAAACACGAGGAAUAAGAAGGGAGUGCAAUUAGAGGAAAGCAGGUGGCAGCGGGCAUGUAACACAUCACUUUGAUCAUCGAUCAGCGUACCCACGGAAACGCUGAUCACGCGUGUCGGCUCCACCUCUGAGACAUGAGGGAGAGAAAAACAAACAACAGUUAGAGCCGGUUACACAUGCCGGAACCAUGACAGGCGCUGAUGUGUCAGUGAUUGACUAGAUUUACAUUUGACAUUGCUAUUUGACAAAGAUGCAAUGUGGAAAUAAACUAUAGCAAGUGUAACACAUAUACCCUUUGAAAUUAUGUAAGCUGUGCAUCUUUUUAGACUCAAAAAGUGCCUGAGAAAAUACAUAUGUGAAGCUUAUGUGCCAGUUGCAUCUCAUGAAAUUUCAGUGUGGAAGUAAUGAAUGCUGUUCUAUAUUUAUUGCAUCAUCUCUUUGACGUAUGAAAAAUAAAACAUUAAAAUAUA